GGGAAAGUACAAAUACCUAUUAUGUUGGUUGGAAAUAAGAAAGACCUGCAUAUGGAAAGGGUGAUCAGUUAUGAAGAAGGGAAAGCUUUGGCAGAAUCUUGGAAUGCAGCUUUUUUGGAAUCUUCUGCUAAAGAAAAUCAGACUGCUGUUGAUGUUUUUCGAAGGAUGAUUUUGGAGGCAGAAAAAAUGGACGGGGCAGCUUCACAAGAUUCCAGCGUAGUUAGUGACGUUGUACUUCAAGACUUACUGGCAUAUGUGUCCUCAAAACAUUCCUACCUCAGAGAUCUUCCUCCGAGACAGCCUCAGAGGGUGAACAGUAUAGACUUUGUAGAAUUGGAGCACCUUCAACCUGAUGUGUUAGUCCACGCAGUACUAAGAGUUGUUGAUUUCCUAUACUGACAGAGGCAGUAUACAGUUAUAGAGGACAGAAGCAGAAAAAAGUUAUGUUAACAGUGGAACAGGCCCAAGAUCAACAUUAUGCGCUUGUAUUAUGGGGUCCUGGAGCAGCCUGGUACCCUCAACUUCAAAGGAAAAAAGGUUAUAUUUGGGAAUUUAAAUAUCUUUUUGUUCAGCGCAAUUACACACUAGAAAACCUAGAAUUGCAUACAACGCCUUGGUCAUC
rnacentral:lncRNA from 1 species